GAUGAACGCUGGCGGCGUGCCUAACACAUGCAAGUCGAGCGGACGGACGAGGAGCUUGCGUCGCGGACGUUAGCGGCGGACGGGAGAGAAACACGUGGAUAAUCUACCUAUAAGACUGGGAUAACUAGGGGACAGCGGAGCUAAUACGGGAGAAUAUUUUGAACCGUAGGGUGCGAAGGUGAAAGACGGUGUUGCUGUAACUAAUAGAGGGAUACGCGCUGCAGUAGCUAGUUGGUAAGGUAAAGGCCUACGAAGGCAACGAGGCGUAGCCGACUGGAGAGGGUGGUCGGCCACAUUGGAACUUGGACAGCGUCCUUGCUCCUACGUGAGGCACCAGUCGGUUAUCUGCCGCAAUAGUCGAAAGCCUUACGGAGCAGCCCCGCGUGAGAUAUGACGGCCCUCCGUUCGUAAUACUCUCUUACUAGUGAAAAACAUAUUUGUAAGUAGCUGUGCACUUCUUGACGGUACCUAAUCAGAAAGCCCCGGCUAACUACGUG
rnacentral:rRNA from 1 species